rnacentral:rRNA from 1 species
GUUAGGAAUAUUGGACAAUGGGCGAAAGCCUGAUCCAGCCAUGCCGCGUGAACGAUGAAGGCCUUCGGGUUGUAAAGUUCUUUAGCCGAUGAUUAUAAUGACUGUAGUCGGAAAAUAAGCCCCGGCUAACUUCGUGCCAGCAGCCGCGGUAAUACGAAGGGGGCGAGCGUUAUUCGGAAUCACUGGGCGUAAAGCGUGCGUAGGCGGUUUUGUAAGUUAGGAGUGAAAGCCCAGGGCUCAACCUUGGAAGUGCUCUUAGAACUGCAAGGCUCGAAUCUCGGAGAGGAUAGCGGAAUUUCCAGUGUAGCAGUGAAAUGCGUAGAUAUUGGAAGGAACACCAGUGGCGUAAGCGGCUAUCUGGACGAGUAUUGACGCUGAGGCACGAAAGCGUGGGGAUCAAACAGGAUUAGAAACCCGAGUAGUCC